rnacentral:rRNA from 1 species
CCCUACGGGGUGCAGCAGGCGCGCAAACUUUACAAUGCGAGCAAUCGUGAUAAGGAAACCCUGAGUGCCUGUCGAUGCAGGCUGUUCAUAUAUCUAAAUCAUAUGUGAAGAAAGGGCAGGGCAAGACCGGUGCCAGCCGCCGCGGUAAUACCGGCUGCUCGAGUGAUGGCCACUAUUACUGGGUUUAAAGCGUCCGUAGCUUGACUGUUAGGUCUCUUGGGAAAUCUUCACGCUCAACGUGAAGGCGUCUAAGAGAUACCGGCAGUCUUGGAACUGGGAGAGGUAAACCGUACUUCGGGGGUAGGAGUGAAAUCUUGUAAUCCUCGAGGGACGACCUAUGGCGAAGGCAGUUUACCAGAACAGCUUCGACAGUGAGGGACGAAAGCUGGGGGAGCAAACGGGAUUAGAUACCCCGGUAGUCCCAGCCGUAAACAAUGUGCGUUAGGUGUGUCGGUAACCACGUGUUACUGAUGCGCCGAAGAGAAAUCGUGGAACGCACCACCUGGGAAGUACGGUCGCAAGGCUGAAACUUAAAGGAAUUGGCGGGGGAGCACCACAACAGGUGGAGCCUGCGGUUUAAUUGGAUUCAACGCCGGACAUCUCACCGGAUAAGACAGCUGAAUGAUUGUCAAUCUGAAGGUUUUACAUGACUAGCUGAGAGGAGGUGCA